UUUUCUUUUUUCCCCCCAUUAGGAAAGAUACUUACAUGUUUUAUUCAAAAUUCUUUUAAGCCACCACCAAAGAAGAGAAAGAAAUUAACAUAAUAACUCUCCGGGUGGUUCCCUGUUUACAAAGUAAGUUUAACUUUUACUUUGUUUUCCUUCAGAGCCCUAAAUUCAACUCCUACUUUAUUCCAUAUUUCCAUUUUCAGUCAUCCUUGAUGCCUGAAAUGAUUUAGUUGAUGCCAUAUUGAUUUCGUUCUUGUUUGCUUCCUCAAAAUGUUUCUCAUUUUUCUGUCCCCUUGGCUCAUUUCUAAGUGUGUUUUCUAAUGUCCAUAUCCUGCACAAUUGCCAGCAGCACCAUGACCUAGGGAGGACCCUCAUUAUGAACUGCAUUCUACAGGAAAAAAGACGCACGUCCCCUUCAAAUGAUGUGGCUUGCCCCAUGGAAAACAGAGUUGGUGUCUGAGUCAGGAAAAAUGAGGAUGAUCAAGAGUGGUUGCUUCAGGGACCUUCCACACUGCUAAGGCCACCUCUAUUUUUCCAGACUCCAGGUAUAUUUUAAAAUGAAGACAUGUCAAAAUAGGUUUCUGUUGUAGUUAAAAUGUUUACACCUAUUAGCAAUUAUAUUUGUAUGAGAGUUGAAGGCUCUUCCAACACUGUCAGUGUACUUCUGUGACAGUAUGUAUCUAAACUCAUUUGGAAAUAAACAAUAAUUGUCUAAUUUUGGCCCUUAAUUGAGGUCCUAGCUUAAUGCCCUCUUUUCUCAUAAAGGAAUGCCCUUACAUGAACAUUAGGACUUUAGAGGACAGCAGUGGUGGCAACAGUGGAGUUGACUGCAGCUGGGGCAAAGGUAGCAGGUUAAUACCAGCUAACACCUCCAGAGCAUUUGCCAUGUGCCAGGGACAAUGCUAAGUAUUUUAUGUGUGCUAACACUAUGCUUUCUUAGGCAGGUACUAUUAUUAUCUGCUUUUUUUAACAGAUGAAGAAACCGAGCCACACAGAGGUUAAAUAACUUGCCCAAGGGUGCACAACUACUAGUAGUAUUGAGUCUAUACGCUUAAGUAUUGUGCUAUUCCAUUUCUUACUGAAUACAAAGCAAAAAAACAUAAGGAUCAGAGGAGGAGUGUGAGUGUCCUCAUACUCACAGCAAAAGGAGGGAAUUCAGGAGAGGAUUGAAGAAGCGGUUCCUGUUUUUGAGGCAUUUGCAAUCAUUGCUGGAGAGACAGAACCAACAGAUGGGGAACAAUGGUCAGGGACUCCAGGCCUGAUUUAAGCCAAUGCCGCCCUGUGGUCUUUACCCACGAAUGGUGUGGAAAAUGAGAGCAGGGAAGAGGAUUUACUCACUGGCUGUGGAGUUAGGUCAGAAGGGGGAUGGAAAGAAGGAACCGGAUGGCUUUGGGGACAUUUCUUAAUCUUUAGGCUUCACCUUCCUUAACUGAAAAUAAAGCCAUAAGUUACCUCCAGAA